UUUGCACGACCAAGUUAAGAUAUCUCUGGGAGGAUUUUCCAUUUAAACUAUAGUUUGGGUGUAAAUAUUUUUACAUCUAUCAUUAUAUUUAGUAAUGUUGAUUCAGACCGACCCGAAAGCUUCGCAAAUUAUAGCAGGUUAUUAAAACGCGAAACACAUUGAAUAGACUAACAAUUGAGAAGAAAGAACAAAUAUUUCGGAACGAGAUUAGUAUUUUUCUGGUAAAGUCGCUACAUUAUGAAGUUAGAAUUUCCGCAGGUGGAAUUUUCGACUUGAACUAUAAUUUGGCACUAAGGGUACACGAACCUUUCUAGAAAUUUAAAUUUAAUUAAGUACUUGAUCACUAUUUUUAUUUUCAGAUUUUUCUUUCUGUGACAACAUAUUUAGUCAUCUUAAUUCAAACCGAUCCUAACGCUUCAAGAAUAGUGUCUGAGAAGCUCUUUUGGAUCUAAGUGAUUUCAAACUCAGUCGACUAAUUUUUAUUAACAUAUUGAAAGAACACAAACAAGUUCAAAAAUUUUCUGUUUUAAUUCGAGAGAAUUUUCAACUUUUGAACUACCAAGAAAGAAAAAUUUAACUUGAGUACUAUUUUCACAAUAGUUCCAAAGCUUGCAUUUCAAAAGUUGGAAAUUUGUUAAAAUUCUUGAGAUACUCAUACACAAAAAUAUAUUCU